GGUGGUAUGGUCUAGUGGUAUGACGUCGCGUUGUGGCCGCGCCAGCCUGGGUUCGAUUCCCAGUACCGCCA
rfam:Coccidioides immitis H538.4 supercont1.1 genomic scaffold, whole genome shotgun sequence.